AUGCAUUUAGGUGCAGCGUCACGUGCUGAUGCGCGGGGGUAGAGCACUGACAAGGCUAGGGGGCACACCCGCUUACCAAACCUUAUCAAACUCCGAAUACCGUGCAAUGGAACGUGGCAGUGAGACAGUGGGGGAUAAGCUUCAUUGUCGAGAGGGAAACAACCCAGACCAGCAGCUAAGGUGCCUAAAUAACGCUCAGUGGAAAGGAUGUGGGAUUACACAGACAGUGAGGAUGUUGGCUUAGAAGCAGCCACCAUUUAAAAAAUGCGUAAUAGCUUACUCAUCGAGUGAUCCUGCGCCGAAAAUGAUUGGCGAUCAAGCGUUAUACCGAAGCUCUGGACUUUGCCGCAAGGCAGAGUGGUAGAAGAGCGUUGCAUGCGCGUCGAAGGGCGAUGGCGACUGACCCUGGAGCACAUGCAAGUGAGUAUGCAGACAUGAGUAACGUUAAGCCGGGUGAAAUCCCCGGCCGCCGUAAACCCGAGGUUUCCAGGGCAACGUGUUUCGUCCCUGGGUUAGCCGGGACCUAAGCCGAGGCCGAGAGGCGUAGGCGAUGGACAUCAGGUUAAUAAUCCUGAGCUCGCAACCCUUAAACUGGGGGGACGCAUGAGAAAAGAUGACUAGGUUAUUGAAUUCCGAGUUGAGUCCACGGACUCAGCGCAUCAUUGGAUCGAGUGCCAAGAAAAGCCCCAGCGUAUGCUAAGCGACCCGUACCGCAAACCGACACAGGUGGGUGGGUAGAAUAUACCAAGGCGUAAGAGUGAAACCUGGUUAAGGAACUCGGCAAAUUAGCCCCGUAACUUCGGAAGAAGGGGUGCCUGCAGCGAUGCAGGCCGCAGAGAAAUGGCCCAACCGACUGUUUAUCAAAAACACAGCACUCUGCAAAGACGCAAGUCGAAGUAUAGGGUGUGACACGUGACCAAUGCCGAAAGAUUAAGGCAAGGGGUUAGCCGCAAGGCGAAGCUCUAAACCCAAGUCCCGGUGAAUGUCGGCCGUAACUAUAACGGUCCUAAGGUAGCGAAAUUCCUUGUCGGGUAAGUUCCGACCUGCACGAAUCGUGAAACGAGUUGGGCACUGUCUCAACCAGGCGCUCAGUGAAAUUGUAGUGGCGGUGAAGAUGCCGCCUACCCGCAGAAGGACGGAAAGACCCUAUAGACCUUAACUGUAAGCUGUCAUUGUUUCUUCGGUUUUAAUGCUCAGAGUAAGUGGGAGACGCUGAAGACGCCCUUUAGGGGGCGUCCGAGUCAUCAAUGAGACACCACCCUUUGAAACUGGAGGAUCUAACCCUGAGCCGUGAAUCCGGCCAGAGGACCGUGUCAGCCGGUCAGUUUUACUGGGGCGGUAUCCUCCCAAAGAGUAACGGAGGAGCGCGAAGGUGGGCUCAGCCCGGUUGGCAACCGGGUGUCGAGUGCAUGGGCAUAAGCCCGCCUAACUGUGAGACCAACAAGUCGAGCAGAUGCGAAAGCAGGCCCAAGUGAUCCGGCGGUAGAAAGUGGAAUUGCCGUCGCUCAACGGAUAAAAGGUACCUUAGGGAUAACAGGCUGAUCACGCCCAAGAGUUCAUAUCGACGGCGUGGUUUGGCACCUCGAUGUCGGCUCGUCGCAUCCUGGGGCUGGAGAAGGUCCCAAGGGUUGGGCUGUUCGCCCAUUAAAGUGGC
rnacentral:rRNA from 1 species